UGUUUGCAAAGCUGGAACCGUCCUUGUUCC
rnacentral:piRNA from 1 species